rnacentral:rRNA from 1 species
UACGUAGGGUGCAGGCGUUAAUCGGAAUUACUGGGCGUAAAAGCGUGCGCAGGCGGUUUGCUAAGAGAGAUGUGAAAAUCCCCCGGGCUUAACCUGGGAACUGCGUUUUCUAACUGGCAGGCUUGAGUGUGGCAGAGGGGGGGGUGGAAUUCCACGUGUAGCAGUGAAAAUGCGUAGAGAUGUGGAGGAACACCGAUGGCGAAGGGCGGCCCAAUGG